rnacentral:tRNA from 1 species
GCGCCGGUAGUCUAGUGGCCAUGAUUCAGCCUUGCCAAGGCUGCGGCGCGGGUUCAACAUUUUGACAGACUGUCAAACUCCUGCGCAAUGUGGGAUUUCGCAUUCGCUCAAUCCCACGGAACGGCUUCGCCGUUCUAGGGGUUAUAUCGGCUUGUCAGAAGGAAAGUCCCGCCCGGCGCA